rnacentral:rRNA from 1 species
CCAGCGACGCCGCGUGGGUGAAGAAGGCCUGCGGGUUGUAAAGCCCUUUCGGUGGGGAAGAAAAGCCUCGAGCUAAUACCUCGGGGUCUUGACGUAACCCAUAGAAGAAGCACCGGCUAACUCUGUGCCAGCAGCCGCGGUAAUACAGAGGGUGCGAGCGUUAAUCGGAAUUACUGGGCGUAAAGCGCGCGUAGGCGGCUUUGCAAGUCGGGUGUGAAAUCCCCAGGCUUAACCUGGGAACUGCAUUCGAGACUGCAUUGCUAGAGUAUGGGAGAGGGAAGUUGAAUUUCCGUUGGUGCGGUGAAAUGGGUAGAUAUUGGAAGGAACAUCAGUGGGGAAAGCGACUUCCUGGACCAAUAAUGACGCUCAUGUGCGAAAGCGUGGGGAGCAAACAGGAUUAGAUACCCUGGUAGUUCACGC